AACGCAGUUACCACAUCAAUGGUCGUUGGAUCGAGAUAAAACGGUCUAGAUUUCGAUACAAAUUUUGAUUUUUUUUUAAGAAAAAAAACUAAAAUAUCAGUUUGAAAUUUCGAUCAUCCGAUCCCGAUCCAACGGUCAAUGUUGUGAUGACUGCUUG
rnacentral:pre_miRNA from 1 species